CUGCUGCCAAUUUUUGACCGUAAAACUUCCAUCAGGAUAUGAAAACAGAGCAAAACAGAGUACGGGUGUGCAUGAAACCGAAAAAACUGAUCCGUAACCGAAGAAAUCAAACCGAAAUAACUGCUGGUUUAGUUUUAUGUUUUAUGAAAGAAAAAACAAUUUUUUUUGUUUGAUUUCGGUUUUUAUGUAAUUAAAAGAAAAAAAAAAACCGAACCCGAACCAAAUUUUUAAGUUAUUUUGUUGAACGACAACUUUUAUUAGAAACAAAACCGCUAGCAAGCAACAAGUGAGAAAAUUUUUAAUGUUAAAUAAUUGAUAAAAAUUUAAUAAAUGGUGUAACUUGGUGUUUCUUCGUAACCCCGAAUAUUAGAGCAAUAAUCUACAUUAAUCAAUUAAUAUUUUUAACUAAGAAAAAGAUUUAGUAAUUGUGUUUCAGACCCCAAAAAUCCAAAAUCAUCAUUUUGCUACAAUUCUUUUUCCGGAAAAUUUUUUUAAGCAAAAAUGGUAAAACCAAAACCAAACCUAAACUGAGAAAACCAUAACGGACCCAAGCACACCUCUAAAGCAGAGUAAUAUAAAGUAGAGAUGAGCGUGAUACCGGUACCGGCAUCGAAAAGCACACCUCUAAAGCAGAGUAAUAUAAAGUAGAGAUGAGCGUGAUACCGGUACCGGCAUCGAAAAUCGUCAAAACCGGAUAACGGUACCGGUAUCGAAAAUGUUCGGUACUGUACGGUACGGCAGGGCUGGCCCAGAGCAAGUGUCAGGUGGGCGACCGCUCUGAGCCCAAAUCGAAAUAGGGCCCGAAAAAAAUUAUAAAUUUUUUUUAUAUAUUUUUUAGAAAAAAAAAUAUGUAUUUAGAAAAAACUUAAAAUGGCCUGGAUUUAUGAACCAAAAUCGUUGGCAUGUUUAAAAAAGAAAACUUAAAGGGCAUGGAUUUAUGAACCAAUAUCGUUAAAUGCCAACUGUUUUUGUCAAUCAAAUUAGAAGCACAACUAUUUUAGUGUGUAAUGAAUUAAUAAACAGGGCUAUUUUUUUGGUGUGAUUCCGGAGACAACCUUGCGAUACGAUUCCGGUAUUUAAAGAGGAAAUGAAAAUACUGGAAUGUAUAAAAACUGCUAAACACUUACCAGUAGCUGUCGAAACCGGAAGCGGGUGGUGGCUCGAAACCAGAAUCGGAGACCACCCAAAUGAAACCGGGUCGGAUCCUGUGGGAGAAGAAGAAGAAGAUGGAGGAUUCAUUGAAGUUGAAUAGAGAGUGAAAAUGUAAAUGGUCGGUGAGAGUGAUGAAAAUCGGGUAUAUAUAGGUAUCGUGUAGAAAUAUCUGGUUAGAAUGGCGGUUAAGUCCACCAAUGGUAGUUGACAGCAUGUCAGUGUCGGAAGCAUCUACGUUGGUGAUUCUCUGACAGAUAUUUUUUGAGGAAGUGGUUUUAGCCAAUCAGGGUUUAGGAAGAAGGGUUGAGGAUUUUGUGGCGGUUACGUGUGGACCCAUGCAAGUGGACUUGUAAACCUUACGUAUUAAGCAAAACGUGAUGUUAAUUUAUUUUAAAUAUAUUUAAGUUAAUGUUUAAAGUAAGUAAAACCUAUAAAUAUAUUUAAUUAGGGUCGUUGUGAUAUGCGCGUUACGACAGAAAGCGGGUUGGAAUUCAGUACGUAUCGUAUACAGUUACAAUUGAUGAAUAAUUUCAUAAUGUUAAACAAAAUGAUAUCUAAAUGUAUUAUGUUAUUUACGUCGUAACUCAGCUUUAGACAUUAAAUAAUAAGAAAAGGUAAAACAAUAAGGUAAAUAAAAAAGGUAAGGAUAAGAACUCGGUCGGUUUCAGUGCAAUCUCUAUAGUAAACGAAAAAAGAAAAGUUCAAAAUACGUCCAAAAAGGUAUCGCGCGUGUUCAGUUUGUUAAAAUCAUUUCAAAAGCUUAAAAUGAUUUUCCGUACCUGUAUCAGUUCUGUUCGUUAUAAAAAAAGAAAAACGCUAAAAACCUAAACUAAAAAGGCAAAAAAAAAAACAUAAGUUAGCAAAAAUUAACUGGUGCAAAAGUUUCACAUUAGCCAAUGAUCUCUAGAUCAAGUGGUGGAAGGCUUGCAUUUCUUUUGAGAGAUGCAAGUUCAACUCUCACUUGGUGCAGAGUGAGGCAUUAAUGGGCAAUGAUAGAAGACCCGGGGAAACUUGAGUUCGAUCCUUGAGCCAAACUGGUUUUACCGGUAAUUUCACCGUCGUGCCUACGGGCGGGUGGGUUACCGGGUUUUCCCCAGAAUUGGUGGUGGACUCGGGUUACUAUCGGAGUAUUCCAUUUGGUCUAGUGGGUGCCCCGAGAGUGCUCGGGAUUGAUUCUAUUGGUCGUUAAAAAAAGGUUCACAUUAGCAUUUAAACACUAUUAAACUUCUUAUGUUCUAUAGAGAUAAUUAAUUUAUAAAAUCUUAAAGAGAAAUGUCGGUAGGUAGACCAAAUGACUACAUCUGCCCUCACCCAACAACCAAAUUACAAAACUACCUCUUUUAAUCAUACCAAACCCUAAUCCUGGCCAUGAUCUGAAGGUUUCUUUCUCUAUACAAUCAUCGCCUCUCUUUGGUCUCCCUCUUUAAUCACCGCCACAACACAACAACUGGUCGGGUCAUCGUCCUCUCCUUAACCAAGCCGUAGAGAGAAGACGGUGGUUUUGCGGUGGUGCAGCGACGACAACGGUUGUUGUUUUAUUAAAAGCAACGACGACGACGAUGCUAGCGGCUAAAGUUCAGAUCCAAGAAUCAAUUUGCUUACAUGGUGAUGUUGGAAAAAAAACCCAGCGGUCGCUUCUCCAUCUCCGAUUACCCCUUCAGCCGACCACCGUCAUCGCCGGACACUAACCUUUCCGACCACCAACUACACACCACUGGCCGAGACUCAUUAACGACACCACCGACCACUGUCGAACUCCGAUUAACCAGCAAAGUGCUAUAAUUUAUCUAUUACUCAGUUAAGGGAAUCCAGGUAUGAAGCUUGAACUUUUAUUUGUCAAUAAAGUUGUUCCCUUAUUAUUGUUGCACAAAUUGAAUGUUAUUUGGUGAUGUAAAAGGGGGUUAUUGAAGGUAACUGAUAGUAAUUCGUAUUUGAGUAUAGAGAAAGUGCAGUAGAUACAUCAACAUGGUUCGAAUUAUGAUGAAAUUGGAUAGUGAAGGUAUAUUGUGCGGAAAUUGGUUUGGAAUUGAGACAGAUUGCAAAACAGGGAGUUAGGUGCGAUUAGAGUGAUUCGCUCAGUAGUUUAAGUUAAGAAGUAGUGAUUUGGGUAAAAUUAACAUGGAUAGUAUGAUGCUGGCGUUGGUUAAUAUGGGUAGUGUUUGAUGAGCUGAAUAUAGAAAGUAAAAUGAUAAGUCAAGUUGUUGGUAUUUGUUGCGAUAUAUAUAUAUGCUUAUAUAUGUGUUGGACGUAAGAAUUCGGAUAGAUGAUGCAAACCAUUUUGACCGCUUCUUGAUUUGCCAACAAACCUUUUCCCAGUUUUAACACUUAUGGCAUGAGGCUAUCUCUAAUUAUAUUCUCUCCUUCAUAGAAGCUUAUUAGGCCGAUUAGUUAGCUUAGUUAGUUGGUUCAAACCGAAUUUUCUGGUAUAACAUAAAAAGCAUGGUCGGUGACUCCAUGCUUUUUUCACGUGACCAUUGAAGUAGAACAUAGAAGUUGUACACCUGGCAAACAAGAAUUGGUAUUCGUCUUUUUCAACAUUUCAAUUCUUUUGUUUAGAUUACUUUUACGAAUUUACACUUCAACGAGCAAGACAACCACGUUAAUAUCAUAAACAUAACGUAACAAAUUAAAAAACGCAUCACGUCACAAACAGACGCCACACGUCAAUGUUAUCAUCGUAACGUGUGUAGCAAAGUCGCAAAAGCGAAGUUGCCGCCGCAACGCGCGGCACGGGUAAAAACCUAGUAUAACUAAAAGAGAAUUGUUGACUUAAUUUCUAAGUAUAUUUAUCAUCCGAAUAAUCUAUGUGAUAUGCGAGUUAAUCAAUGUCUUAAAAAUUUAUAUUAGGGUUGUGUAUUUGUUCAUGAGUUGAAGUGAACUGAGUUGGGUUACCUUGUGCAUAGAUGAAUUGAAUAUGUGAUUUAGGGCAUACAAGGGGUUGCGAGUUCAAGCCUAGAAACAAUCUAUACUAUUAUAAAAAGGAGAAGUGAUGUACACAUAUGUAAUUUUACCAUAAGUAUAAAUUUUAUAGCAUUAUGUACAACAUAAUAGAAGCCAUUAUAUUAGAAAAUAGCACAUAAUUUUAAGACACCGUGGUGGCAAUUUAGGGAUUUCACCCCUGCUUUAACUCAUUGUCGUUCUUGAACAUCAAUCGCCAUGGUUCAAUGCGACCUUUCGAUACUUGUCACUCGUCAGUUCCCAUCUCCCCUAUAACCUAAUGUUCGAUUCUUAAAGCUUCCAUCAAUGGCGAUGAAUCCCAUCUCCCCUCUGGCUUGUUUUUCGUUUCUUACCUCAAUCAACCAGAUCUUGUGAGAUGGAUAGAAUGUUCAAAAAUCUAGGGUUCAAUGUCAGAACUGCAAGGUGAAAAUGAAGAUUACAGUUGAUUUGAGAUCCUCCCACGAAGAUUCACAAAUAGAUUUGAUUACAAGACCCUAAAAUCGUUCAAGUCAGAGUAGACUUUGAUCCAUUCAAGUGAUAAAACUGCUACUCGAUUUGCCAUGUAGACCAGACACCAAACUACCAGGGUUGGUGACGAUGGGCUUUAAGGUAAAACUGAUGGCGCACUACUCUUGGAGAGAAUAAUGAUGAAAAACGUUGAGGUAAUCACAUGAUAACCAUUGAUUUGUUUUUGGUAGGAUGAAAAAUGUUGAGGUAAUCACAUGGUAAAACCGAUGGCGCACUACUCUUGGAGUGUACAUAUUUCAGUACUAAAAUCACAAGUUUACACAUUCUUAGAGUGGUUUAAUCCAUGUCUUUGACCCGUAUUAUUAUCGUUUGAAGCAAAGUUGGGUAAUCGGAGAUGAUACCAUAAAUGAAACUGCAGCUCCGUAAGCCAAUACAACUUUUAGCAACACAACUGACAGAUCCGUUGCUACUGUUUUCAAGCAGGGUUUGGCUCUUAUCAUUGGUCUAUCGGAAACUUCGUCCGAGUCGGAAGAUUCAGAAGUAGAAGAGGUUUACAAGCCUUGAAGGAUGUUUCAAAGGCAGAGAAACUGUUUAUUUCUGGUGUUUUAGAUGAGCUAAAAUUGUGCUUUAAUUAUAGCACUCAGGUAAAUGCUAAACUUGUUUUAUAAUUAGUUGAUCUUUUAAAUAACUUGCUGAAUAGUAAUAAUCAUGGUCGCAAAAGUCGCUAGGCGCUCCCUAGUCAGAGUCGGGAGUACGCGGGAAGUACUUGGCAUAGGCGGAGAGUACUCGGGGAGUAAUUUGCCUAAACGAAGAGUACUCGUGCCUCAGCAGCCUACCUUGUAGUGAGUACUCGGGGAGUACUCGGCCUUCGAGGCCUUGUUUUACAACCAUGGUAAUAAUUGUGUUUUACGCUUGCUUCUGCUGACAUUCCGUGCAUAUGUUUUCCAGAUUGCAGACAAACAUAAUUUCCUUAUUUUUGAAGACCGUAAAUUUGCCGACAUUGGCAACACAGUAACAAUGCAGUAUGAAGGAGGUAUUUUCUGUAUAUUGGAAGGGGCAGAUAUAGUGAACUUUCACAUUAUUUCAGGUCCUGGAAUCAUUGACGGGUUGAAAUUAAAGGUUUACCCGUGCAUCUGCUGCAAGUUGUGAAGGCCCUGGUUUGGGGUAUUUUGCUGCUGUUGAAGGACCUGCUGCAUAUGUUCCGUAUAAAAAAUGGUAGAAUUAGCUGCAGGCCUGAUGAUGUUAAGGAGCCCUUGUGUUCUGUUAGGGUUUGGAUCAUCAUUUUAGGAUCGGUUGUAGUGACAUUUGUUAUGAUUAUUUGAUUAGUUAGGGGUAAUUUUACAUGAUAAUGGGAACUUUUUAAACACUUAAAAGACACGCAGUUGACGA